UGGGAUGUAGCUCAGUGUAAAGUGCUUGCCUAGCAUGCAGGAGGCCCUGGAUUCAAUCCCCAUCAUUGCAG
rnacentral:tRNA from 1 species